CCACCGCAACUCUAUCGUUCCCUUUGGUCGUUAGUAUCCUUCAUCACUUGUUUCGUUGGAAGUGCGAGGUAGGAUGGUGCUUAUAGGCGAUCUGGCAGCCCUUGUGCCCUCGGCUCGUAUUAGGGUGGUUUGCAGGUACGGGGAACACACCCACGACCAUGUAACAACAUCAACAAGGGGAUGUAAACCCGAAAUUUUCAUUUGUGUGCGUGUGUGUGUAUGUUUGUGUAGUAGGUCAACAUUUUGCGAGGUAUGUGUGUGUAUUUGUUACAUAUCGAUCUGGGCCUGGCACCCGGAAGCAGAAAUCACACCAGGCGCCGUCGUACGCCUGACCAACGAUGCUUCAUAACUUGCUUUGGAACCGAACGCAAAUAUGUUCGGUUUUCAUCAAAACAGCAGGCGUGUUCGGUCACAAGUGGACUUCAAAUUCAUGCCUGCACCCUCGGCCUACCGGCGAGAAGCUGACAUGGCGACGGUCCAGGAGCAAUCGAGGAGCUUACAGGCACAGUUCUUUAUCUUUGACAGUCGUGUCAGAAAGCUUGGAGAUGCUGUCUUCCGGUAUUGAGGUUAACCCAUGACUGUUCAUGCUGGCUUGUUGAACACGCUCUGCUUAACUUUGAUGGCAUGCCGUAUAAAUUUGCUCGGGUGCAUACUGCUGCUACGCCGUCCGUUGCAUAGCUACCAAAGCCGCUCCUGCGCAGGGAAGCGAGAAGGUGAUCAAGCGUUAUGCUAUAGAGGUGUGAUGGGAAGAGAGGAGGAUGACAAAGGCUGUGUAAACGUUGCCCACUUGCGUAUUCCCCUGGCGGCGUCGUAGCGACGAACUAAACAUGUUCGCGAGAUAUCUUCCCUGCGAACAUGUUACUGGAAUUUACAUGCUUUGUGGGCCUGAUGGGCCUGUACGUCAUUCUAUUGUGCGCACAAGUUGUUAUAUGGCGCGAAGAAUGCGAUUACAACAAAUGUCAUAUGCUGAGUCUGUGAUCUUUCAAACAUUAGCCUGUAUCCACAGAUUGGUGUUUCUUUGCAACCCAAUCCAUCGCUUUCGGGCGCAGCAAAGCCUCAAUACUAUAAAUAAAAGACUUUAAUAUGCCGGUCAUUGUUCUUAAGGUAGCUAAUCCCGUCGAGACGGA
rnacentral:lncRNA from 1 species